rnacentral:lncRNA from 1 species
AAGGUGGAGGGAGCCACUAUGGAGGAGAAAGGCUCGUAGAUGAAUUUGGAGGAAGAGGAUGAUAAGAAGAUAAAAUAUGUGAGGAGAAAGAGGAGGAGGGGAAAGAAAGGAUCACCAAUAAAAAAUAGAUGGAGAUGGAGGGAGCCACCAUGGCUUAUAGGUGAGCUUAGAGGGGAAGGAGGAUGAAGAGGAGAAAUAGAUGAGGAGGAAGGAGAGGAGGG